UUGUGAUCUUCGAACGGGUCCAAGCCACUAGUCCCGUAUACCGAUUGUCCGCUGGCACUUCAACAGUCAUGGAAGGGGUCAGACGCUUUGGCGAAUUCGUUUUGGCGGCGAUGGGUAUCAGAGUAUCUGCCCACAAUAACUCGGCGAACCAAAUGGUACUAUCCUGUGAAGCCAAUUGCGGUUGGCGACAUUGUCAUUGUGGUGGAUCCUCAGUUGGCUCGGAACUGUUGGCCGAAAGGACGCGUGCUAUCAGUUAAGACUUCAUCAGACGGACAAGUACGUUCGGCGGUCGUACAGACAGUUACAGGCCUUUAUGAAAGGCCAGCAGUGAAGCUUGCAGUGCUGGAUGUAGGUGCAAAACGAAGUAAGCUGGACCAGGGCCCAACUACUGAGGGGGACUGUUGCGCACACCCUAAGCGUAACGCAGCACCUACACCCGAACAUCGUUGAUGGGAAUACCUCCAACGGCAAUUUAUACGAGCUCUUUGUGGGUCUGUCUGCGUGAUGCAGUUGGCGAGAAUGACGUGGAGCAGUACUGUCAACUGUAGAUCGUAAAGCGAUGACUAGCGAAAAAUGUGUUCUACAUAAAGGUUGUGAGUGAGACGGUGAAUUUCUUAAUCUAUAAUUUGUUGCUAAAACUAGUUAUUCCCUACUGUUAACUUAUUCUAUCUAUUACUAAAUUGAAUCGAGACGUGAAAGUGAGCCAACAAGCUGGACCUGCAUGCGAAGGAUCCAGACAGUCAGUAUUCCUCAAAUUAACGAUUUGAGAUUCUGUUAAUCCUAAUUGACGUCGCUAGAAGAGAAACCGUAGUAAAAACAGGGAAACCUACAAACGAAAAAUUUAAUCUCGGUGCUCGACACUGCAAAUAAACCGGAUUGAAAAUUUUCGGAAAGCGUUUCUCUUGUUGCAUCUGCAACACCAAUUCAUUGCAAAAUGAAAAUGAAAUAUUUAAUAUUUAUUACUUUUUGUGGGUAUAAAAUAGUCAAAAUAGAAUUAAUUUAAAGUCUUUUGUGUGGGAACUUUUAUUUGCAGUGUGGUGAGUUU